rnacentral:rRNA from 1 species
GACGAACGCUGGCGGCGUGCCUAACACAUGCAAGUCGAACGGAAAGGCCCUGCUUUUGUGGGGUGCUGGAGUGGCGAACGGGUGAGUACCACGUGAGUAACAUGCCCCUGCCUUUGGGAUAACUUCAUGACACUGGGGCUCUUACCGGAUAGGAGCUCCUGCUGCUUGGUGGGGGUUGGAAAGUUUCGGCGGUUGGGGAUGGACUCGCGGCUUAUCAGCUUGUUGGUGGGGUAGUGUCUUAGCAAGGCUUUGACGGGUUGCCGGCCUGAGAGGAUGAUCGGCCACGUUGGAUUGGAAAUGAGACCCGGACCACUACGGGAGGGGGCGGUGGAGAAUAGUGCACUAUAGAAGGAGGCCUGAUGCGGCAACGCCACGUGCGGGAUGAAGGCAUGCGGUUUGUAAACCGCUGUCGCCUGUGAAGGAACGUGAGUGACGGUAACGGGUAAAGAAGCACCGGCUAACUACGUG